rnacentral:rRNA from 1 species
GACGAACGCUGGCGGCGUGCCUAAUACAUGCAAGUCGAACGCAGUGGGGACGGGUGAGUAACACGUGGGUAACCUCCCAUCAGAGGGGAUAACACUUGGAAACAGGUGCUAAACCGAUAUUGAUGGAUGGACCCGCGGUGCAUUAGCUAGUUGGUGAGGUAACGGCUCACCAAGGCCACGAUGCAUAGUCCACCUGCACAGGUGACUGGUGAAGCUGGUAUGAGUACACGGCCCAGACUCGUCCGGAGAGCACAGUUAGUGAAUCUUCGGCAAUGGACGAGAGUUGUCCCUAGCAACGCCGCUGGAGUGAAGAAGGUUUUCGGACCUUAAAACUCGGUCGUUAGAGAAGCGGUAUCUAACCAGAAAGCCACGGCUAACUACGUGCCAGCAGCCGCGGUAAUUC